AUUGAACGCUGGCGGCAUGCCUUACACAUGCAAGUCGAACGGCAGCGGGGGAGAAGCUUGCUUUUCCUGCCGGCGAGUGGCGAACGGGUGAGUAAUACAUCGGAACGUGCCCUGUAGUGGGGGAUAACUAGUCGAAAGAUUAGCUAAUACCGCAUACGACCUGAGGGUGAAAGUGGGGGACCGCAAGGCCUCAUGCUAUAGGAGCGGCCGAUGUCUGAUUAGCUAGUUGGUGGGGUAGAGGCCUACCAAGGCGACGAUCAGUAGCUGGUCUGAGAGGACGAUCAGCCACACUGGGACUGAGACACGGCCCAGACUCCUACGGGAGGCUGCAGUGGGGAAUUUUGGACAAUGGGCGAAAGCCUGAUCCAGCAAUGCCGCGUGUGUGAAGAAGGCCUUCGGGUUGUAAAGCACUUUUGUCCGGAAAGAAAUGGCUCUGGUUAAUACCUGGGGUCGAUGACGGUACCGGAAGAAUAAGGACCGGCUAACUACGUGCCAGCCGCCGCAGUAA
rnacentral:rRNA from 1 species